CCUGCCACAAUCUGUUGGACUUUUUACUAGUUAUAAUUCAAGAAUGUGUCAAUUUUGGGCAUCUGUUAUAUGUAUGUGUUACAUCAAUCUUCAGAAGUAACUUCAUUAAAGGCACAUUCAAAACACAUCCAUGUCAUUUUUUACUUCAUUUUGAAUAUGAUGAAUUUGAUCAUUUUUUGUGGCUGAAAUUGUGAAUUAUUCAAAUAGUUGUUAUCUUCCUUUAGGUAUUGCGCAUGGAUGAAGAUCUUAUGCAGUGACCUUUCGUGCAAAUUACCUCAAUGUAAACAUAACAUAAAGAGUGACAGGCAACUUUUGAAUAAGGAUUUCCAUAUUGCAUAAAUAGUUAGCAUCAUGGAGGGAUAAAAGUCAAAUGCAUCUGCAGUGAAAAAUUUGAUUUUGGAGGGGAAAAAAAUUGCCAAUUUCAGGUGAAUGGUCACAGAAAGUGCUUAUAAUUAUACGGUGAUUUUUAAGGCAAUAAAUUUUAAAAGUCAAGGUCGUACAUCAAAAGUAGUAUAGGAAUAUAAAGUACAGUCAGUACUUUGUACACAAUUUGAGGGACAAAAAGUCUAUUUUGAUGAAAUGUCGUUUUGAAAGACAUCAUGACCAUUUUAAAUUUUAUACCGGAGUGUGUGCUAUGCAAAUGAAGAUUGCAUAGCAUGACCUCUAGUGAGAAAUUGAAAUAUCUUAUAGUAUAAAUGUAUAAUCAGGAAUACAGUUUCUUAAUUUUAUCAGGGACACAAUGAAUUUUGAACCAAGUUCAAAAAAGUAUUGUACUUAUGAAAGUGAAAAGCUGUCUUUGGCAAUUUCAAACAGCCUUAAGAAAUCUCUACUUUCAGUUUAAUUGCACAAAAAGACAAUUUUCAGAUGAAAAGUGCAUGCUUACAGGUUUCACAAUUUUGAGAAAUGAACUCCUUAAAUUAAAAGGAGAUUGUGCUCUGAAGUCUUAAACUUGCUGCAGCAAUGUCAGCAAGCUAGAUAAUAAAUUCCAAAGGAAAGAUGUCGCUACCUCUUUUUUGUCCAAGAACUGUGAGGUGUGUAUGACUAUGAGUUUUGGAAAAGACAAUUCUCUUUCUUAAGGAAAACUGAGAAACAUGUAGGCACAUACAUGUCUGUGAAUCUUAUAUUAGAUCUUCAGCUUGUAAAGGAGAAAAAUAUCCAUCAACUGUAAUGUCAAUUUCCUUCCA